AGCUCUUUCAUGACCAGCUCCAACCGACAAGUACACGCCCCUUCGCACUCCACUAGCUAGUAAGCUGAGCUACAAGGUGUGCCAGGCACCCAGGACGCCGAUUCACCGCUUCAGUGAAGGCCCAGCUCAAAUGCCACCUCUUCCAUGAAGACUUCCGUGAUCCACAAUGAUAGCAUCUCCAGCAAUUGCUUCUAUAAUGAAUAGCAUGAGUCAUUCUGCAGGAUGUUGAUCUUCCUUUUUUUACUCCUAGACUGAAUUUUUCCACCACCUGGAUGAACAUAGCAGAAAGAACAUAGUGUUUUAGAGUCAGACACAAUAGGAAUCAGGCACUUUGGAAUCUUGGCUCUACCACCUUUGAGCUAUGUAUCCCAAGUCAAACACCCAUCAGACCUUUGCCAGGUGUCCAGCCUGGGCACUACGUUUCAGAAAAUGAUGCACAUAGAAUCCCUAACUGAAAGGAGAUCGCAGCUCAUUUGGUACAAAGUGCUUUUAGCCUGGGUAAGGAGCUGGAGAGAUGUGAAAAUGUGGAAAGCAAGCCUAAGUCGCAGUGUGGCCUAUGCCUGAGAGCCAUCU
rnacentral:lncRNA from 1 species